GACGAACGCUGGCGGCGUGCUUAACACAUGCAAGUCGAACGGUGAAGCGCCUUCCUUCUUGGUGGGUGUGGAUGAGUGGCGAACGGGUGAGUAACACGUGAGUAACCUGCCCCCUUCUUCUGGAUAACCGCAUGAAAGUGUGGCUAAUACGGGAUAUUCUGGGUCUGUCGCAUGAUGGGUCUGGGAAAGAUAUUGUUUCGGUGGGGGAUGGGCUCGCGGCCUAUCAGCUUGUUGGUGGGGUGAUGGCCUACCAAGGCGGUGACGGGUAGCCGGCCUGAGAGGGUGGACGGUCACACUGGGACUGAGACACGGCACAGACUCCUACGGGAGGCAGCAGUGGGGAAUAUUGCACAAUGGGCGCAAGCCUGAUGCAGCGACGCCGCGUGAGGGAUGGAGGCCUUCGGGUUGUGAACCUCUUUCGCCAGUGAAGCAGGCCUGCCUCGUUUGUGGGUGGGUUGACGGUAGCUGGAUAAGAAGCGCCGGCUAACUACGUG
rnacentral:rRNA from 1 species